rnacentral:rRNA from 1 species
UACGGAGGAUCCAAGCGUUAUCCGGAUUUAUUGGGUUUAAAGAGUGCGUAGGCGGGCUAUUAAGUCAGAGGUGAAAUCCGGCAGCUCAACUGUCAAACUGCCUUUGAUACUGAUAGCCUUGAGUGUAUUUGAAGUGGGCGGAAUAUGUCAUGUAGCGGUGAAAUGCUUAGAUAUGACAUAGAACACCGAUUGCGAAGGCAGCUCACUAAACUACAACUGACGCUGAGGCACGAAAGCGUGGGGAGCAACCAGG